AUACGGAGGGAGCGGGCGUUAAUCGGAAUUACUGGGCGUAAAGCGCGCGUAGGCGGCUUUGUAAGUCGGAUGUGAAAGCCCUGGGCUCAACCUGGGAAUGGCAUUCGAUACUGCAGAGCUAGAGUAUGGUAGAGGGAAGUGGAAUUUCCGGUGUAGCGGUGAAAUGCGUAGAUAUCGGAAGGAACACCAGUGGCGAAGGCGACUUCCUGGGCCAAUACUGACGCUGAGGUGCGAAAGCGUGGGGAGCAAACAGGAUUAGAUACCCCAGUAGUCC
rnacentral:rRNA from 1 species